UUACGCUGGUUCCCCUUCAAAUAACGCAUAAAUCUUUCGCCUUUUACUAAAGAUUUCCGUGGAGGUGAACGAUUGAUGCGUCUACUGUAACAAUUUUUCGUUAGCACCCGACGCAAGUCGGGU